CCUACGGGAGGCUGCAGUGGGGGAUAUUGGACAAUGGGGGGAACCCUGAUCCAGCGACGCCGCAUGAGUGAAGAAGUAUUUCGGUAUGUAAAGCUCUGUCAGCAGGGAAGAAAGCAAUGACGGUACCUGACCAAGAAGCCCCGGCUAACUACGUGCCAGCAGCCGCGGUAAUACGUAGGGGGCAAGCGUUAUCCGGAAUUACUGGGUGUACAGGGAGCGUAGACGGCUGUGCAAGUCUGGAGUGAAAGGCGGGGGCGCAAACCCCGGACUGCUCUGGAAACUGUGUGGCUGGAGUGCAGGAGAGGUAGGCGGAAUUCCUAGGGUAGCGGUGAAAUGCGUAGAUAUUAGGAGGAACACCAGUGGCGAAGGCGGCUUACUGGACUGUAACUGACGUUGAGGCUCGAAAGCGUGGGGAGCAAACAGGAUUAGAUACCCGGGUAGUC
rnacentral:rRNA from 1 species